GACGAACGCUGGCGGCGUGCCUAAUACAUGCAAGUCGAACGCUUCUUUUUCCACCGGAGCUUGCUCCACCGGAAAAAGAGGAGUGGCGAACGGGUGAGUAACACGUGGGUAACCUGCCCAUCAGAAGGGGAUAACACUUGGAAACAGGUGCUAAUACCGUAUAACAAUCGAAACCGCAUGGUUUUGAUUUGAAAGGCGCUUUCGGGUGUCGCUGAUGGAUGGACCCGCGGUGCAUUAGCUAGUUGGUGGGGUAACGGCUCACCAAGGCCACGGUGCAGAAGCGACCUGCGAGGGCGAGCAGCCACAUUGGGACUGAGACACGGCCCAAACUCCUACGGGAGGCAGCAGUAGGGAAUCUUCGGCAAUGGACGAAAGUCUGACCGAGCAACGCCGCGUGAGUGAAGAAGGUUUUCGGAUCGUAAAACUCUGUUGUUAGAGAAGAACAAGGAUGAGAGUAACUGUUCAUCCCUUGACGGUAUCUAACCAGAAAGCCACGGCUAACUACGUGCCAGCAGCCGCCGUAA
rnacentral:rRNA from 1 species